UGUAGACUGAGUUGUGUCCCCUGAAAAUUCAUAUGUUGAAGAUCUUAUCCGCUAGGUAACUGUAUCUGGGGAUAGAGUCUUUAACCAGUAACGACCUCUCAUAAGAGGUCAUAAAUAUGGCGGCCGGCAUGUGCAUCUGAGAGGACUGGCAUCUUUCUCUCUCUCUCUGCCCUGUGAGAACACAGUGAGACGGCGACCGUCUGCAAGCCAGGAAAAGAGCUCUCAUCAGACACCAAACCCUGCGGACCUUCAUUUUGGACUUCCAGCCUCCAGAACUGAGGCAGUAAACAGAACAUGAAGCAAAGAAUAAUGAAAACAGGAUGGCGUGUCUAUAUUCUUCUGAAUUGUGGCACCAACUACACACAAAUCACAGCCUGAAACACUGAAGACCUUGGAUGCUUGCUUUGUUUAUGAACUAGAUAGAGUGCUAAUUUUCUGCUUUUCAGGAGAAUAAACAGAUGUUUAUGAGAGAAGUAUACUCAAUUGCGGUAAAGACCCAUCACAAAAUGACUUUCCC
rnacentral:lncRNA from 1 species